UACGUAGGUGGCAAGCGUUGUCCGGAAUUAUUGGGCGUAAAGCGCGCGCAGGUGGUUUCUUAAGUCUGAUGUGAAAGCCCACGGCUCAACCGUGGAGGGUCAUUGGAAACUGGGGAACUUGAGUGCAGGAGAGAAGAGUGGAAUUCCACGUGUAGCGGUGAAAUGCGUAGAGAUGUGGAGGAACACCAGUGGCGAAGGCGACUCUUUGGCCUGUAACUGACACUGGAGGCGCGAAAGCGUGGGGAGCAAACAGGA
rnacentral:rRNA from 1 species